UACGGAGGAUCCAAGCGUUAUCCGGAUUCAUUGGGUUUAAAGGGUCCGUAGGCGGAUUUUUAAGUCAGAGGUGAAAGCCUGCAGCUCAACUGUGGAACUGCCUUUGAUACUGGAAAUCUUGAGUGUGCGUGAAGUAGGCGGAAUAAGUCAUGUAGCGGUGAAAUGCAUAGAUAUGACUUAGAACACCGAUUGCGAAGGCAGCUUACUAAAGCACUACUGACGCUGAGGGACGAAAGCGUGGGGAGCGAACAGG
rnacentral:rRNA from 1 species